AUUGAACGCUGGCGGCAGGCCUAACACAUGCAAGUCGAACGAGUGGCGGACGGGUGAGUAAUGUUUGGGAAACUGCCCGCUGGAGGGGGUUCACUACUGGAAACGGUAGCUAAACCCGCAUACCAUCGGAUGUGCCCAGAUGGGAUUAGCUCGUGGGUGGGGUAACGGCUCACCUAGGCGACCAUCCCUAGCGGGUCUGAGAGGAUGACCAGCCACACUGGAACUGAGACACGGUCCAGACUCCGACGGGAGGCAGCAGUGGGGAAUAUUGCACAAGGGGCGCAAGCCUGAUGCAGCCAUGCGGCGGGUAUGAAGAAGGCGUUCGGGUUGGAAAGUACUUUCAGCGUGGGGGCGUUACUCGAAGAAGAAGCACCGGCUAACUCCGUUCCAGCAGCCGCGGUAAUAC
rnacentral:rRNA from 1 species